CUUUACUUCCAAAUCCACUCUCGUUUACCUCUAAAUUUACUCAAAUAAAUAACAACAAAAAUCAUCUUCAAAUCCUCUCAAAUCCACUCUCUCAAAUUCAUUCAAGUGAACAAGUUCAAGAACUUAUAUCAUGAGUUUUGAUGCUUAUUUCCACCAAAACUCAAUCUUUGGUCAAGUUUGGCAGGCAACAUAAUUGUGGAAAGAGG
rnacentral:lncRNA from 1 species